CCUACGGGAGGCAGCAGUGAGGAAUAUUGGUCAAUGGACGAGAGUCUGAACCAGCCAAGUAGCGUGAAGGAUGACUGCCCUAUGGGUUGUAAACUUCUUUUAUAUGGGAAUAAAAUGUUCCACGUGUGGGCUUUUGUAUGUACCAUAUGAAUAAGGCUCGGCUAACUCCGUGCCAGCAGCCGCGGUCAUACGGAGGAUCCGCGCGUUAUCCGGAUUUAUUGGGUUUAAAGGGAGCGUAGGUGGAUUGUUAAGUCAGUUGUGAAAGUUUGCGGCUCAACCGUAAAAUUGCAGUUGAAACUGGCAGUCUUGAGUACAGUAGAGGUGGGCGGAAUGCGUGGUGUAGCGGUGAAAUGCUUAGAUAUCACGAAGAACUCCGAUUGCGAAGGCAGCUCACUGGACUGCAACUGACACUGAGGCUCGAAAGUGUGGGUAUCAAACAGGAUUAGAUACCCGUGUAGUC
rnacentral:rRNA from 1 species